rnacentral:rRNA from 1 species
UACGUAGGGGGCAAGCGUUGUCCGGAAUCAUUGGGCGUAAGAGCGUGUAGCGGCUCGCAAAGAUCUGGUGUGAAACUUAGAGGCUCAACCUCAAGCUGUCACUGGAUACUGGCGGGCUUGAGUCCGGAAGAGGAGAGUGGAAUUCCUGGUGUAGCGGUGGAAUGCGCAGAUAUCAGGAGGAACACCGAUAGCGAAGGCAGCUCGCUGGGACGGUACUGACGCUGAGGUGCGAAAGCGUGGGGAGCGAACAGG